ACCUUUCAUUUCUGUAUCAAAGAAUGCCAUGUCUUGUCUCAAAACCGACUUGAGAUACAAAGAUCGAAAGCGAGCUGCCUGCCUCUCCCCAGUCACGGUCCAGCAUGAUAUCUCUGUAGAAGCAUCGAUGGGCGAUCUGAUAUUGAGUAUGCGCCUGUGGUAUUCCUAGAUUCAUACAGAAGCAAAAGGGUACCUUGUCAACUCGGGGAAGGAUGGUGCCCCGGGUGGCACCUCCAAAGGCAUCUACCAUCCGCCCGAAGAUGAUCGACAUGACCACCUGUGACAUGCCGCUCGCAAGCGCGGCGACCGUGCCAACCAGCAUCAGCACCACAUCAGUGGCAUCCGCGUUCUUGAACAGGUGUCCACAUCAGAGGAUGACUAGGACACUUGGUGCAUCAGCUCGGUCGUACGCAUCGGCUUGGCUGCGUCAGCUCAGAUGAGCUUAGCAGGCCUUGUCUUGCCUGGCAGUGGCAGGAGGUAUCGCAGGAUGUUCAGCGCCCUGAUUUGGAGCUAGUCGCUCGCGCCACGAUGGCGAUCUGGCAGCUGCUGGAGUGAGCCAAAUGGAAGAUCCCUGGGGACCUGAGCGUUUGGAUGCUUGGAGCAUCAGCUCUGUUCGGAUGUGUGUGAGAGCUUCUGCAAAUGGCAUGGCCUGGCCCCGCUCUCUUUUUGUUCUUAUCCUGCUUAUGCAGAUUAGGGCAUAGCGUGUAGGACCUAAGUAGGGGUACUGUGUAUUUCUAAGCUUUUUAGAGUGUAUUUGUUUCUGACCGAAGAUAUAUACUAUUACUUCAUUGAUUAUGUUUGUAUGUGUGCGAAGAAAA